UGGAUCCAGACUUUGAUCCUGGCUCAGGAUGAACGCUAGCUACAGGCUUAACACAUGCAAGUCGAGGGGAAACGACAUUGAAAGCUUGCUUUCGAUGGGCGUCGACCGGCGCACGGGUGAGUAACGCGUAUCCAACCUGCCCAUCACUUGGGGACAACCUUGCGAAAGUAAGACUAAUACCCAAUGACGUCUCUAGAAGACAUCUGAAAGAGAUUAAAGAUUUAUCGGUGAUGGAUGGGGAUGCGUCUGAUUAGCUUGUUGGCGGGGUAACGGCCCACCAAGGCUACGAUCAGUAGGGGUUCUGAGAGGAAGGUCCCCCACAUUGGAACUGAGACACGGUCCAAACUCCUACGGGAGGCAGCAGUGAGGAAUAUUGGUCAAUGGACGAGAGUCUGAACCAGCCAAGUAGCGUGCAGGAUGACGGCCCUAUGGGUUGUAAACUGCUUUUAUAAGGGAAUAAAGUGAGUCUCGUGAGACUUUUUGCAUGUACCUUAUGAAUAAGGACCGGCUAAUUCCGUGCCAGCAGCCGCGGUAAUACGGAAGGUCCGGGCGUUAUCCGGAUUUAUUGGGUUUAAAGGGAGCGUAGGCCGGAGAUUAAGCGUGUUGUGAAAUGUAGAUGCUCAACAUCUGCACUGCAGCGCGAACUGGUUUCCCUGAGUACGCACAAAGUGGGCGGAAUUCGUGGUGUAGCGGUGAAAUGCUUAGAUAUCACGAAGAACUCCGAUUGCGAAGGCAGCUCACUGGAGCGCGACUGACGCUGAAGCUCGAAAGUGCGGGUAUCGAACAGGAUUAGAUACCCUGGUAGUCCGCACGGUAAACGAUGGAUGCCCGCUGUUGGUCUGAAUAGGUCAGCGGCCAAGCGAAAGCAUUAAGCAUCCCACCUGGGGAGUACGCCGGCAACGGUGCAACUCAAAUGAAUUGACGGA
rnacentral:rRNA from 2 species